rnacentral:rRNA from 1 species
UACGUAGGGGGCAAGCGUUGUCCGGAAUCAUUGGGCGUAAAGAGCGUGUAGGCGGCUUGGCAAGUCUGGUGUGAAAUCUUGCGGCUCAACCGCAAGCGGUCACUGGAAACUGCCUCGCUAGAGUCCGGAAGAGGAGAGCGGAAUUCCUGGUGUAGCGGUGGAAUGCGCAGAUAUCAGGAGGAACACCGGUGGCGAAGGCGGGUCUCUGGGCCGUAACUGACGCUGAGGAGCGAAAGCAUGGGGAGCGAACAGG